GUCUCACAAAGGACUUGCAUUUACUUCUCUGAGCUGGUUAAAUAAGGCAAUUAGACUAUCCAGUCUAGUCCAAUAAAGGUUCCAUACAAGCUUUCACAUCCUAAGAUUCUAUAAUUUUUCCUUUAAUUGAGUCAUGAUCUAUAGUAUCCCUGUUAACUUUUCUUCCAGUUUAUAUCUCCAAGACUUUUCAGCUUCCAGUUGGCUUGAAGAUGAUAUAUUUGUCAAAACAGGCACUAGUUAUGCUUGAAUUUUAUAAAAACUCCUAGGAAAAUGCACCUCAGUGAAUGGGCACUUUAAAAAGUGGAAGUUAAUUCAGUUUCCUGGGAAUGACCAAUCCAGAGCUGACCUUGUUUGCCCUGGCAAAAUAUGCUACAUGAUGAUUUUUCUCACCAUUCCAAGAGUUUUCUGCCAUCUAUCCAUGAAUGACUUUGCUCUGUAUUUUCUUUUCUGCUGGCUCUUCUGUAGAUUGGUGUCAAGGGUUAACUUGUCCAACCAUUCAUAGCUUUGCUGAACUUUUUAUAUGAAAAUGUUCUGCUUGGUUAGUUAGGAGCAUAAAAGACAGAGAAAUACUAACUUUAUGAGAAGGUUUUGAAAUUGCCACUCUGUGUAAUGUGAAACACUUCAUCACCACAGUUAAAAUUCUAAUAGCUACUGAAGAAAAGAAAUGUCAUUCCAAUAACACAAAAUAUAGCUAUUUUAUCAUCUUCCUGGACUUGGGGAUAUUUUUAUUAAUUAAUUUCAAAUUGGCAAUGGUUUAUGCUAUUGAAAUCUAUGAAUUAAUUUAAUUUUACUUUUUAAGGGUUGAUAUUUUAUAAGCAUGAUCUUUAAUACAGAUGAUAUGAAAUUUUUACAGAUUUCCUGGCAAAAUACUGCAAUUAUGAGUCCUAAAGGAGUAAAUACUUUUUAAAAUUUUAUACACUUUGCCAGCUUCUCUCAGAUCAUUACAAGAAAUGUGCUUUUCAUUGGAUUUUGGUUAUAGUUUUAGGACAUGCCUGCUAGGUACAGACAAAAGCUAAAUAAAUACUAAUAUGCAAAAUAACAUGGUUUUCUAAGUAGAUCUAAGAAUUUUAAAUGUUUUAAGUUUUCUUAAACCUGUUGGUCAUCCUUUAAAAUCUUUUAAAAAAAUUUUUGACACCAUCAAAGUGGAGAGAAAAUUUAAACAAUUUGGUUUUUGCUUUUGCCAGUGGGCAUUUUAUGCCAAUCAGGUUAGUGAAUUGGAAGACUGUCAAGGGUUUGACAAGCUGAAUGCAGUGAACUAUUUUCUCUAGAAGCCAAACCUCCUAAAUAAUAUUCUAGAGCAAGUUUUCUGAUGUUCUCAGUCUCAACAAUGUUUCCCACUUCCUCGGCAAGUGUCUCUGACCUCCAUGAACAAUCACCAUGUACUGACUUGAUAAAUACACGCACACUUGCAUGCACGCACACACGCGUGGGCGCGCGCACUGUAUGAAGGCCACACAGUGCAAAGGCUUAGUAUGCAGAGGUACUGGCAGAAGGGCAGGCAUCUAACCUCAGCCUCACCAGUUUUUUACUUCCUACAAGGAAAUCACUAGAUUCUUCUAGUGACUGGGUUUUCACUUUUGGAUCCCACUAGGAGUUUGUAUUUGGAGAGAUCAUCCUUUUUAAAGUGUUAAACAUUUAAUUAUACAAUUUAUCAAAUUUCCACAGCCCGUCUGUGAAGUAUGGUGUUUGACAAUUUGAUACAUAGAGAAAAUAGGCUAGUUGCUAACACUUGGUUAUUUGCGGUAAUACGGAGGUAGCACUGUGGUUGAGUGGAGGGGUCGGCAUAAAAGUCUGUGUCUCCAGGCUAGGAUUUAUGAGAACUGUGACUGUGAUCACAGGGCCUUCAGAAUCUGAGCUGGAACUUAAAAGUUUCCCCUUUGCUGCUUUUUGAGACAGUGGUUCCUUCACACCGAGAAUAGUGCUUUUAAAUGUGCUUAAUACCUGAAAAUUUUAGAGAGCAAUAUGUGGUAUGAAAAGUGCAUUUUUUUUUUUUUUUUGGCCUGAUUUAGCAUUUACUUGAAAGAAAGUACAGGCUACAUGCUUAUAUCUGCACUGCCUUCUGACUUUGGGGGAUAUCAAAGCAUGGAUUAAAAAAGUAAUAAAGAUGCACCAAAAAAUUGUAGAAUGGUAGCUCCCUAUGAUUUUAUUUUUUAAAAUAAUUAUUACUCUUGACACGUUUUAUCUUCAAAGUGCUUAGUGAAUAUUAAUUAACUUUUUAAAAGUAUAAAGGAACUCAAGUCAGCUUGCUUUUUCGUAGAGAAUAUCCCAUUGAAGUUAGGUGGUAUAAGAUUGAGCUAUAAUUGCGCUAUAAUAGAAUUAUUAAAAGAUUCUUUAAAGAAUGCCUGGGCUUCAAAGACUGGAGCUAAGUGGAGUAAAGCAACAUACAUCUAAGAAAGUAAUUUAGUUUGUGCUGAAGAAAAACUGCAUUUAUUGUCUUAGCCAAAUAAAUUUAUGCCCAAAUGAAGUCCCUUAAUGGUAAGAGAUGAACUGGGUUUAAUUUGAUUUCUGCAUAAUUCAGGAGGCUGGAGAGUGACAUUGACUGAUAUUUAUAUUAAACAUUUGUAGAUUUCGACCCACCUGGUCCUGUUAUUAAAGAAUUACUUUUUCCAUCCUUGUUAAGUAGCAAAAAUUAAUAACCUCAGAACUAACCCAUUCUAAUAAAAAAAUAAGUGACUUAAAAUGGUUAACAUUAGAAAGCAUUUUCAAAGCAACAAAUACAAGUAUUUAUCAAUAGUUACCAGAUCCAGACCUUCUGUAAUUUUAAAAGAAUUUAAUUCAUAUGUUGAAUUUCUUAAAAUAUUUGUUUUCUUUGAAGGUUUACCUUUAAGGUGAUUAUUGCAGCAUGACACACAGUGUUUCCUGCUUACUCGAUCUCCAAACUGCUUACGUUUAUGACAUAUCCCAUUCUUGCCUUCCGUCUACACACUCACAGGCACACACACGCACGCAGAGAGUUAAUGUUUAAUUUUUAUUAUGAUGAGGAAGUGCUCUGGUGGGUAAAUCCAAAACCCUGAACACCAUUAAUUAAUCUUAAUCCUUUCCAUGUAAUGAGAGCAACUGAUAGAAUAC
rnacentral:lncRNA from 1 species